rnacentral:rRNA from 1 species
AGAGUUUGAUCCUGGCUCAGGAUGAACGCUGGCGGCGUGCCUAACACAUGCAAGUCGAGCGGUAUAUACUUAAACAAAUCUUCGGAAGAGUGAGAGUAUAGAGAGCGGCGGACGGGUGAGUAACGCGUAGGCAACCUGCCCCAUACAGAGGGAUAGCCUCGGGAAACCGGGAUUAAAACCUCAUAACGCCAAGAGUUCACAUGGACUUUUGGCCAAAGAUUUAUCGGUAUGGGAUGGGCCUGCGUCUGAUUAGCUAGUUGGUGGGGUAACGGCCUACCAAGGCAACGAUCAGUAGCCGACCUGAGAGGGUAAUCGGCCACAUUGGAACUGAGACACGGUCCAAACUCCUACGGGAGGCAGCAGUGGGGAAUAUUGCACAAUGGGCGAAAGCCUGAUGCAGCAACGCCGCGUGAGCGAUGAAGGCCUUUGGGUCGUAAAGCUCUGUCCUUGGGGAAGAAAAAAUGACGGUACCCUUGGAGGAAGCCCCGGCUAACUACGUGCCAGCAGCCGCGGUAAUACGUAGGGGGCAAGCGUUAUCCGGAAUUAUUGGGCGUAAAGAGUGCGUAGGUGGUUUUGUAAGCGCGGGGUGAAAGGCUAUGGCUCAACCAUAGUAAGCCUUGCGAACUGUAAGACUUGAGUGCAGGAGAGGAAAGUGGAAUUCCUAGUGUAGCGGUGAAAUGCGUAGAUAUUAGGAGGAACACCAGUGGCGAAGGCGACUUUCUGGACUGUAACUGACACUGAGGCACGAAAGCGUGGGGAGCAAACAGGAUUAGAUACCCUGGUAGUCCACGCCGUAAACGAUGAGCACUAGGUGUCGGGGUCGCAAGGCUUCGGUGCCGCAGUUAACGCAUUAAGUGCUCCGCCUGGGGAGUACGCACGCAAGUGUGAAACUCAAAGGAAUUGACGGGGACCCGCACAAGCAGCGGAGCAUGUGGUUUAAUUCGAAGCAACGCGAAGAACCUUACCAGGACUUGACAUCCCUCUGACCGGCGCUUAACCGUGCCUUCCCUUCGGGGCAGAGGUGACAGGUGGUGCAUGGUUGUCGUCAGCUCGUGUCGUGAGAUGUUGGGUUAAGUCCCGCAACGAGCGCAACCCUUGUCAUUAGUUGCCAGCAGUUGGCUGGGCACUCUAGUGAGACUGCCGGGGAUAACUCGGAGGAAGGUGGGGAUGACGUCAAAUCAUCAUGCCCCUUAUGUUCUGGGCUACACACGUGCUACAAUGGCUGGUACAAAGGGUUGCGAUCCCGCAAGGGGGAGCCAAUCCCAGAAAACCGUUCUCAGUUCGGAUUGCAGGCUGCAACUCGCCUGCAUGAAGCCGGAAUCGCUAGUAAUCGUGGAUCAGCAUGCCACGGUGAAUACGUUCCCGGGCCUUGUACACACCGCC